UUUAUGGAGAGUUUGAUCCUGGCUCAGGAUGAACGCUGGCGGCGUGCCUAAUACAUGCAAGUCGAGCGAACGGACGAGAAGCUUGCUUCUCUGAUGUUAGCGGCGGACGGGUGAGUAACACGUGGAUAACCUACCUAUAAGACUGGGAUAACUUCGGGAAACCGGAGCUAAUACCGGAUAAUAUUUUGAACCGCAUGGUUCAAAAGUGAAAGACGGUCUUGCUGUCACUUAUAGAUGGAUCCGCGCUGCAUUAGCUAGUUGGUAAGGUAACGGCUUACCAAGGCAACGAUGCAUAGCCGACCUGAGAGGGCGAUCGGCCACACUGGAACUGAGACACGGUCCAGACUCCUACGGGAGGCAGCAGUAGGGAAUCUUCCGCAAUGGGCGAAAGCCUGACGGAGCAACGCCGCGUGAGUGAUGAAGGUCUUCGGAUCGUAAAACUCUGUUAUUAGGGAAGAACAUAUGUGUAAGUAACUGUGCACAUCUUGACGGUACCUAAUCAGAAAGCCACGGCUAACUACGUGCCAGCAGCCGCGGUAAUACGUAGGUGGCAAGCGUUAUCCGGAAUUAUUGGGCGUAAAGCGCGCGUAGGCGGUUUUUUAAGUCUGAUGUGAAAGCCCACGGCUCAACCGUGGAGGGUCAUUGGAAACUGGAAAACUUGAGUGCAGAAGAGGAAAGUGGAAUUCCAUGUGUAGCGGUGAAAUGCGCAGAGAUAUGGAGGAACACCAGUGGCGAAGGCGACUUUCUGGUCUGUAACUGACGCUGAUGUGCGAAAGCGUGGGGAUCAAACAGGAUUAGAUACCCUGGUAGUCCACGCCGUAAACGAUGAGUGCUAAGUGUUAGGGGUUUCCGCCCCUUAGUGCUGCAGCUAACGCAUUAAGCACUCCGCCUGGGGAGUACGACCGCAAGGUUGAAACUCAAAGGAAUUGACGGGGACCCGCACAAGCGGUGGAGCAUGUGGUUUAAUUCGAAGCAACGCGAAGAACCUUACCAAAUCUUGACAUCCUUUGACAACUCUAGAGAUAGAGCUUUCCCCUUCGGGGGACAAAGUGACAGGUGGUGCAUGGUUGUCGUCAGCUCGUGUCGUGAGAUGUUGGGUUAAGUCCCGCAACGAGCGCAACCCUUAAGCUUAGUUGCCAUCAUUAAGUUGGGCACUCUAAGUUGACUGCCGGUGACAAACCGGAGGAAGGUGGGGAUGACGUCAAAUCAUCAUGCCCCUUAUGAUUUGGGCUACACACGUGCUACAAUGGACAAUACAAAGGGCAGCGAAACCGCGAGGUCAAGCAAAUCCCAUAAAGUUGUUCUCAGUUCGGAUUGUAGUCUGCAACUCGACUACAUGAAGCUGGAAUCGCUAGUAAUCGUAGAUCAGCAUGCUACGGUGAAUACGUUCCCGGGUCUUGUACACACCGCCCGUCACACCACGAGAGUUUGUAACACCCGAAGCCGGUGGAGUAACCUUUUAGGAGCUAGCCGUCGAAGGUGGGACAAAUGAUUGGGGUGAAGUCGUAACAAGGUAGCCGUAUCGGAAGGUGCGGCUGGAUCACCUCCUUUCU
rnacentral:rRNA from 1 species